UACAGAGGGUGCGAGCGUUGUUCGGAAUUAUUGGGCGUAAAGGGCGCGUAGGCGGCGCGGUAAGUCACCUGUGAAAUCUCCUGGCUCAACUGGGAGCUUGCAGGCGAAACUGCCGUGCUGGAGUGUGGGAGAGGUGCGUGGAAUUCCUGGUGUAGCGGUGAAAUGCGCAGAUAUCAGGAAGAACACCAAUGGCGAAGGCAGCUCGCUGGGACGGUAUUGACGCUGAGACGCGAAAGCGUGGGGAGCAAACAGG
rnacentral:rRNA from 1 species